rnacentral:tRNA from 1 species
GCGGUUAUGGCGGAACUGGUAGACGCGUACGUUUGAGGGGCGUAUGGGACAUCCCGUGUGAGUUCGAUUCUCAUUAGCCGCACCA